ACCUAGAGGAGCCUGUUCUAUAAUCGAUAACCCCCGCUUAACCUCACCACUUCUUGCCAAUACCGCCUAUAUACCACCGUCGCCAGCCCACCCCGUGAGGGAAAUAGUAGGCACAAUGAUAAGUCACCAAAACGUCAGGUCAAGGUGUAGCGUAUGAAGUGGAAAGAAAUGGGCUACAUUCUCUAACCUAGAGCACACGAAAAAUCAUAUGAAAUUAGAUUAGAAGGAGGAUUUAGUAGUAAAAAGAAACAAUAGUGUUCUUUUUAAGUUGGCCCUGGGGCGCGCACACACCGCCCGUCACCCUCUUCAACUAAUAAAACACGAUUUAUAAAACACAAAACAAACACAAGAAGAGGUAAGUCGUAACAUGGUAAGUAUACCGGAAGGUGUGCUUGGAAUUA
rnacentral:rRNA from 1 species